CAGCAGCCGCGGUAAUACGUAGGUGGCAAGCGUUGUCCGGAAUUAUUGGGCGUAAAGCGCGCGCAGGCGGUCCUUUAAGUCUGAUGUGAAAUCUUGCGGCUCAACCGCAAGCGGCCAUUGGAAACUGGGGGACUUGAGUGCAGGAGAGGGAAGUGGAAUUCCACGUGUAGCGGUGAAAUGCGUAGAGAUGUGGAGGAACACCAGUGGCGAAGGCGGCUUCCUGGCCUGUAACUGACGCUGAGGCGCGAAAGCGUGGGGAGCAAACAGGAUUAGAUACCCGGGUAGUCCACGCCGUAAACGAUGAGUGCUAAGUGUUAGGGGGUUUCCGCCCCUUAGUGCUGCAGCUAACGCAUUAAGUGCCCCGCCUGGGGAGUACGGCCGCAAGGUUGAAACUUAAAGGAAUUGGCGGG
rnacentral:rRNA from 1 species